CCCUUAGAUGUCCUGGGCUGCAUGCGCGCUACACUGAUGCGCUCAACGAGUUUACGAUCGUGCCUGAACUGGCUGGGUAAUCUUUUUAACAUGCAUCGUGAUGGGGAUAGAUCAUUGCAAUUUUUGAUCUUCAACGAGGAAUUCCUAGUAAGCGCGAGUCAUCAGCUUGUGCUGAUUACGUCCCUGCCCUUUGUACACACCGCCCGUCGCUGCUACCGAUUAAGUGAUCGGGUGAAUAAUUCGGACUGAGGCAGUGCUCAGCUUUUGGACGAAGUUUCAUGAACCUUAUCACUUAGAGAAAGGAAAAGUCGUAACA
rnacentral:rRNA from 1 species